GCGAGAGUAGUUCAGUUGGUAGAAUGUCUCCUUCCCAAGGAGAAGGUCACGGGUUCGAAUCCCGCCUCUCGCU
rnacentral:tRNA from 1 species